rnacentral:rRNA from 1 species
UGCGUAGGCGGGUAUUUAAGUCAGUGGUGAAAUCCUAGAGCUUAACUCUAGAACUGCCAUUGAUACUAUUUAUCUUGAAUAUUGUGGAGGUAAGCGGAAUAUGUCAUGUAGCGGUGAAAUGCUUAGAUAUGACAUAGAACACCUAUUGCGAAGGCAGCUUACUACGCAUAUAUUGACGCUGAGGCACGAAAGCGUGGGGAUCAAACA